UGGGGAAUAUUGCACAAUGGGGGAAACCCUGAUACAGCGUCGCCGCGUGAACGAAGAAGGUAUUCGUAUCGUAAAGUUCUGUCCUAUGGGAAGAUAAUGACAGUACCAUAGAAGAAAGCUCCGGCUAAAUACGUGCCAGCAGCCGCGGUAAUACGUAUGGAGCGAGCGUUGUCCGGAAUUAUUGGGCGUAAAGGGUACGCAGGCGGUUUAAUAAGUCGAAUGUUAAAGAUCGGGGCUCAACCCCGUAAAGCAUUGGAAACUGAUAAACUUGAGUAGUGGAGAGGAAAGUUGAAUUCCUAGUGUAGUGGUGAAAUACGUAGAUAUUAGGAGGAAUACCAGUAGCGAAGGCGACUUUCUGGACACAAACUGACGCUGAGGUACGAAAGCGUGGGGAGCAAACAGG
rnacentral:rRNA from 1 species